CAAUAGCGUAUAUUAAAGUUGUUGCGGUUAAAAAGCUCGUAGUUGGAUUUCUGCCGAGGACGACCGGUCCGCCCUCUGGGUGUGUAUCUGGUUUGGCCUGGGCAUCUUCUUGGAGAACGUAGCUGCACUUGACUGUGUGGUGCGGUGUCCAGGACUUUUACUUUGAGGAAAUUAGAGUGUUUCAAGCAGGCACACGCCUUGAAUACAUUAGCAUGGAAUAAUAAGAUAGGACCUCGGUUCUAUUUUGUUGGUUUCUAGAGCUGAGGUAAUGAUUAAUAGGGAUAGUUGGGGGCAUUCGUAUUUAACUGUCAGAGGUGAAAUCCUUGGAUUUGUUAAAGACGGACUACUGCGAAAGCAUCUGCCAUGGAUGUUUUCAUUGA
rnacentral:rRNA from 1 species